GUGAAGUGCCCUCUUCUUUCUCCUUCUUCCUCACCCCUCGUCCCUUUCUUCUUCACAAAUCGUGUAGUAACCUAUUGAAGCUUUAAUCCAACUCGAAACCACUCAAAUCCUUCAUCAAAUUUCCCCAAAUUUUAGAUACACACUCCAUAAAUUGCACCCAACAAAAUCCAGCAACACCCAGUUUAAAAGUCUUCAAACACAAGUCUCUCUCUCUCUAUGUCUCUCUUCUAGGGUUUCAAAAUCGAUCUCAAUUGGACUCCAAAAAACUCAAAAAUUCAAUAUGGCGCAAAUAGAAGCGGUUUUGAACGUAGAGAGGAAGAUGAGGCAAGUUGGAGAUGUCGCCGGAACUAGGAAAAUGGCAACAAAUAUUCUUCAGUUUGCUUCAAAGCUUGCGCUUGGAAUACCCAAAAUGUCAUUAAAAUUAUUUAUUUGUCAGUUUAUUGUAUAAGUUUGUUUAAGCAAAAUUAUAUUUUUGUUUGUAAAAGACUUUGUCAAGUAUACUACGAAGAAUGGCAUGGAUCGGUAGGAAAUACCAUUUUGGCACAA